rnacentral:piRNA from 1 species
UAGAUAGAUCCUUCGACCUUU